UGGGGAAUAUUGGACAAUGGGCGCAAGCCUGAUCCAGCCAUGCCGCGUGAGUGAUGAAGGCCCUAGGGUUGUAAAGCUCUUUCACCGGUGAAGAUAAUGACGGUAACCGGAGAAGAAGCCCCGGCUAACUUCGUGCCAGCAGCCGCGGUAAUACGAAGGGGGCUAGCGUUGUUCGGAUUUACUGGGCGUAAAGCGCACGUAGGCGGACUUUUAAGUCAGGGGUGAAAUCCCGGGGCUCAACCCCGGAACUGCCUUUGAUACUGGAAGUCUUGAGUAUGGUCGAGGUGAGUGGAAUUCCGAGUGUAGCGGUGAAAUGCGUAGAUAUUGGGAGGAACACCAGUAGCGAAGGCGGCUUUCUGGACUGCAACUGACACUGAGGCACGAAAGCGUGGGUAGCAAACAGG
rnacentral:rRNA from 1 species